CGGGCGGUCCGGUCCAGUCAUCCUCGCGCCCCGGCUGCCGCGGUGCCCACCUCCCCCGGCUCCCCCCUCUCCCCCCGCUCCUUCUCCUUUAAGUAAUCUCCGCGCUGCGGCUCCCGCGGCCCGCACCCUGGGGCCCGGGGCCCGCGAGACCUGCGGGGCCUGCACCGCGGGGUCGGGGGCGGCCCCGUCCCCACCUCGGCCCCCUGGGACUCGAUGAGGCACAGCUUGACGAAGCUGCUGGCGGCCUCGGGCAGCGGCUCCCCGGCCCGGAGCGGGAGCCCGGCGCCGGUGCCCUCCCCGGCCUCGGGCUGUCUGCGCCCCCCGGGCCUGGCCCGGGCGGUGGCCGGGGAGGAGGGCAGCGGCGGCGGCGGCGAGGAGGAGGAGGAGGAAGGGGACGGGCCUCCUCGGCUGCAGGAGGGCGCCCGGGAGGCCGCGCCUGCUGAGGAGAAGAUGGAGGAGGAGGAGGAGCCGCCCGCAGCCGCCGCCCGCUCCGAGGAGCCGGAGGACAUGGACUUUCUGUCGGGCCUCGAGCUGGCCGACCUGCUGGACCCCCGGCAGCCCGACUGGGACUUGGAGCCGGGCCUCAGCUCGCCGGGGCCGCUGUCGUCGGGGGGCGGCUCGGACAGCGGCUGCCUGUGGAGAGGGGACGACGACGACGAGAUGGCGGCCGCGGCCGCUGAGAUGCAGCGCUUCUCGGACCUGCUGCAGAGAUUGGUGAACGGCAGCGGUAGCGGCGGCGGUUCGGGCACCAGCGGGGGCGGCAGCAGCAGCGUCGUCGGCGGCGGCGGCGGCAGCAACAGCAGCAGCAGCGCCGGGGCCUGUGGCGGCGGCGGCUCUGGCGGGGGCGGCGAGCGGAGGCGGAGGAGGAACCCCGUAGCAGGAGGCAGCGACGGCGGCGGCGGCGGCCACGGCCCGGUGGCGGCCAAGAGCCCCCGCAAAGCGGCCGCCGCUGCGGCCCGGCUCAACCGGCUGAAGAAGAAGGAGUACGUGAUGGGGCUGGAGAGCCGCGUGCGGGGCCUGGCCGCCGAGAACCAGGAGCUGCGGGCCGAGAACCGGGAGCUGGGCAAACGCGUGCAGGCUUUGCAGGAGGAGAGCCGCUACCUGCGGGCCGUGCUGGCCAACGAGACCGGCCUGGCGCGGCUGCUGAGCCGGCUGAGCGGCGGGGGACUGCGACUCACCACCUCCCUCUUCAGGGACUCGCCCGCCGGGGACCACGACUAUGCCCUGCCCCUGGGCGAGCGGCAGCAGGACGCUGCGCAGGACGAGGAGCCUGCGGGAGGAGUGUGCCUGCACGUGGACAGGGAUAAGGUGUCGGUGGAGUUCUGCUCGGCGUGUGCCAGGAAGGCCUCGGCUUCUCUUAAAAUUUUCUUUUUUAGGUGAUUUCCUCCCUGCCAGGCUCCGUUGUAGGGGUUACAGAACAGUCGUACCGCCUCACAACCUGGUAAGGAUCCAUCUCUUCCCCUAAAAGCUCAUGCACUGCUGGUUAGUCUACUUUAAUGGGCAAACAUACACAAUUGUUUGUAUUGGGGGAUUUAAGACAAAACAAAAAACAUACAAAAAAAAAAACCCAACCUAAUUUGGGCCCUGUCCACCCUGGAAACAGACUUGUGCUGGCCACUAGUGUGUUUAAGAUGCUUCCUCUGAUUGAAACAGCUGUUGAUGUGUGUGCCCUUGUUCAAACUUACUUGUACCUAGCUGUUCUGUCCCCAGUGUGGACAUGGCCUUCGAUGACAUCGUUCCAACUGUGCAGUGAAACCUGCUUAUAGCCAUACAGUUUGGACACAGUGAAAAAGGUGAAGUUGAAUGGAAGUUCCAGUUGUACAAGGUGCAAAUUGGAAUUCCAGUUGGAGUGCAAUUUUGCAGGGGUUGGCUAUAUGAUUAAAUCCUGUUGUACUUUUCAAACAGCAUUGAGUAUUUGGGGCAUGAACAAAUAUUCUGUAGUUCUAAUUAGAGAUGGUAAAAUCUCUUGAAUAUUCAGGAAUGCCUCUUAGUUUCCUAUAUAAGACAUAUAACUUAUACAGGCUCAUUAGAUUACAGAGCUAAAUAUCAACGUUAGAGAAUUGGAAAUAAUAUGCAUACCAGACUCCUUUAUUUAGUUAACAGCCAUUGAGAAGAAUAAUAAUGUUUAAAUAAAACUGUUUCCUUGAGGACCAGCACAGUGAUUCAGUCACUGAAUAUGAAUGAGUUGUUGAAUAUCUUUAUUUUGUUGUAUUAAAAUUUAUAGGUUAAAUUUGUGUCUGUACUGUUAGAGAUUUUAAGGAUGGUUAAAUGAAUGAAAAAAUGUAAAGUGAGGUUUCACAAAGGAUGAAUUUUAGAAUUCCAAAUAUAAAAACUUAAGAUAAUUGUCUCCUUUUUAGUAGAUGAAAAAUGUUGGUGUUAACUAACCAGUGAGUUUAAAAACAUUUGAUGCUUUAGUAGAGAAGCUUUUUUCCAUAGCUGGGCUGCUUCUCUUGUGUCUUUGAGUACACUAAUCAUACCUAUUAGCACAAGUAGGACUAUAAUGUACUUCAAUCUGAGACUGAUAGAAAUUCUUUGUGAAACAUCACUGUUUGAUAAAGUAUACGUGUAUUUAGCAUCCUUGUUUUUCUUUAUGCUAAAGUGGAUACAGCUGUUGGGGCAGAAGAGACGGGACCAGCUGCUGGCCACAUUUCCUGCUUUAUUUUAAAAGGUAGUAUAAGAAAUGAGGAAAAAGAGCUUAGCAGUGUCUGCAAAAACGAAUCUUUUCCUACAACCUGUAACUGACUGGACUGAUGGUAACAAAGUAGUUGUGGGAGCCAUAUCGGUCACAAAUUUUGGCAUCUGCUGAAAAAUGAAUGCCAUUUCAAGCCCCCAAAUUACUUCUAUACUGAUUUCACUUUCCUGAAGUGGAGAUUUGAAAAGAUUCUCUGGAAUCCUUGAAAGACUUAAUAGAAACACAUGAGACUAAUGGGUUAAUUUUUGGAUAAAAUAUUCUUGUCUUUCAGAGGAGUCAUAAUUCAGUUCUUUGCAGUACCCUUUAAAAUUGGAACUGCCCCUUGGACAAGAGAAUUAUAUAUUUUAUCUAGUACUUUUCAGUUUCUUUAGCAAGGAACAUAGACUAGUGAAUUACAUUUCAUAAAAUAGAAUUAAAUUACCAGGCCAUCGAUGGUUGUAAGGUGUACGUAAUUUGUGCUCACUUAACUGUAUGUAACAUAGCAGUCUUUGUGAAGCUGAUGCACUAACUUGGCUGAACUUAGUAAAAUAAUUAGUGCAAAGUUCAGUAUUUAAAGGGCAGACCUUUUGUAGAUGUUAAACUGUUUUCAUAUUCAUGGAGGAAUUUUGGUUGGUAAAAUGUAUGGGACUAUCUUAUAUAACUGAGAAGUUAUGUAGGCAAGAAAUAAUGGAUCGUUUUUCAUUAUGAUUAAUUUGACAAUGUUGAGAAUAAUUUGAAGUUUCUAAUAACUUGUAUUUUUAUUCAUAUUUUCAUGUCAAAUGGUCUGUUGUUAUGUAAUGACUUGAGCAUUCUGAAUUUUAGAAGUGACUUCUUUGUAGCAAAUGGUUUUAUGCCACAUACAUUUUCCCAGCUUAUGACAUGUGAUAGAGCCUCCUAGGACUGUGGAUUUCAAGAAGUUUUACUUGUUAGUCAUCUCUCCCUGCUUCCCCACCAUCUUUCGGACUAAUGUUAAUAAGUAUAUGUUCUAAUCUCAAACCAGUAAGAUUCUGUCUCACUGGAUAUCUCUGGAGUUAUAGAAUAAAUAUGGUUGGAUUCAGGGGAUAGGUUCCUGUUCUCCAUAAAGAUUAAAUUCAAUAAAUAUAUAUUUGUUGAAGGAAGCAGUCAAAACUUAAUUUAAAUCUGCUCAGCUCAUUCCUUUUGUUAGUGGCAGAGGAGUCUUGCCAAGAAUUAGUUGGAUGCCUAGGGGGAUUCUGAGGAGCAUUUCUGGCUGUAUCCAGGUAUGGUGUUGAUAAAGCAGAGCCAUCUCUUGGCCAUUAUUCAUGGAGUUACAGACAUCUUUUAUGCAAAAUGCUGGCGUAGUCCCUUCUGUUGGCUAGAGAAUUCUUUUUGAUGGGAUACCAGAUAAAACACUCAUAAUUAGGAGUUGUGCAUUUCACUGUUUUAGAGGUCCCUGCUAACUAUAACUAACACCUUCUUGAUAUGUAUUAUAAAAUUUCAAAGUUACAGGACCUUAGAGAUCUUGGGAACUGACAUAACUAUGAAUCAGUAAUAAGAAUUUUUAAAUAGCAAUUCUUCCCAGGCCCACUAUGCAUCUGAAGUUUGAGGAAUCUUUGAAAACUUGUCAUAGAUUGGGUCCCUUGUUUUUAUGCCUUAAAGUACAUUGAUAUAUACUUUAAAAUAAGCAGAAUGUAUUCAGAAGGUAUUUAAGGAUUCUUCAGUACUUUACGGAGAGCCAUCAUUAUGAGCAUUAAUUAUUGAUGAACAAUACCAUGAAAAAGUGAUCUGGUUAUUUACAUUUUGGAUAAACUGGGUUUUGCUGUUUAUACUUUUUUUCCCCUUGUAAUCUCUUAAAUUGCUGCCACCUGUUGGAUUGAGCUGGAAUUUUUGUUUAACACUAUAGCUUUUUUCCAUACUGGGAAGUAUUUUUAAAUCAUUCAUUAUUAAGUUUGAGCAGACAGAGAACUAUGUAUAUAUAACUGACAAAACGUUUUGUGCUUUAUUUUUAACUUAGAUUUUUUUGUCGAAUCUUUUGAUAACUGCAAUGAAACCAAUUGAAAACAUACUCUAGUCACUGGGUGUGUUUUGAAGAGUAUAAGUUGUAAAUUUCAGUUAAACCAUAUUUGGGCUCUUAUUAAUGUUUUACCUAAUUGCAGUGUGCAAAUUAUUGGUAGCCUCAAAGUAAAAAGACAGUUUCCGCAUCUUUCCUUGGCUUUUAGAAUUGAGUAACACUUGGGUUAUGAAGUUAGCGUAUUAUGGUAAUUAGAGUAUAAUACAAUUUGAUCUUUUUUGUUCAGACAGCAGUGAUAAUUUUCAUACCACUAAUUGUAAAGUAAUAUGCUGUAAGAAACAUCUGAGAAUAUUAGAAAAUAGAUGACCAUUUAAAAAAUAUGGGAAAUUGUAAAUGCUUAAUGUGUAAAUUAAAUACAAUUUAAAAUAUUAAAGUUUUGAACCAACAUUUACUUUAUGUGAAACAGAAGAGAACAAACAUUUAUGUAAUUUAAAUUCAUUGAAACAUUUACCGAGCACUGAUUAUGUGCAAGAUACUGUUGGGACCAUGAAGGGAAGAUAUAAAGGUUUUUAAAUAAUUUGAAGAGUUUUCAAGAUUGUUUUAGUUCUGUCAGUUUCAUACAGUUUCUCAAUCAUGGUUUUAGACUUUAAAUAAUAUUGUGCCUAUGUUUUGAGAAAACGUGCUGAAAAAAAAAAGGGCUUUAAAGAUGACUCAUGGAUUUUUUAUUUGACCUUAAUGUUGUGGGGGUGUUUGGGAAAAAAAAAAAAAGACAAUAAAACUAAAAACAAAUUGGCUUUCAGUAAUCGUUAAAAAAAAACAAAACAC